rnacentral:rRNA from 1 species
CCCUUAGAUGUUCUGGGCUGCACGCGCGCUACACUGAUGCGCUCAACGAGUUUUAACCUUGCCUGGAAAGGUUGGGUAAUCUUUUUAAAACGCAUCGUGAUGGGGAUAGAUUAUUGCAAUUAUUAAUCUUCAACGAGGAAUUCCUAGUAAGCGCGAGUCAUCAGCUCGUGCUGAUUACGUCCCUGCCCUCUGUACACACCGCCCGUCACUCCUACCGAUUGAGUGAUCCGGUGAAUAAUUCGGACUGCGGCAUUGACCGGUUCCCGAUCGUUGCUGCGGAAAGUUUAGUGAACCUUAUCACUUAGAGGAAGGAGAAGUCGUAACA